CCUCACGCUGCCUUUGCUUGAACUUCAGAUUGCCAUAGUGCAUGACAGCCCCCGUCAGCUUGUAGAUGGAUGUCUUCUCUUCAGCAGUGAAGCCAAGUAUGUCAAUGGCAGUCUGGCAACAGAAACAGGUCUGGAACCCACUGGGACUAGAAGGAAACCACAGCACAGUUAAAAGAGAAUGAGAGAUAUCCCUGGAUACAGAUGGUCCUGCACAGAUACAUGGUGUGGUCAAAGUGCUGGAGGGAUGCCAUCCAAGAUUGCUGAAAAGUGAUCCCAUCCCACUUUCUGAUUUUUAGCUUUCAGGUGUUGUUGUUGGCCAUGCUGUCAUUAUGGUAGGACCUAUCGAGACAGAUCAGUUCUCUCUAAGGCUGUCAUGGACAGUCUGACAAAGAAUGCCCAGCCUCUGCUGGCCUCUGUGUAAAAUGAGAGCUCACAGGAAUGUUAGCACAAGACAAGCAGAAAUGUCAGAACACUGUUCUGUAGCAAAACUGUUCAUCCCUACACUUCUGCUAGGAUGUGGCUGGACACUGAACUCUAGAGAUGGUAAGAGCACAUUUUCCGUAUUAAAAGCUUCUUUAUGAAUUCAAUGUAGAUUUGCGAAGGUGCAUGCUUUCAACAUUGUGUGCAGAAUGUGCUCAGUCCAUAUUUUUGAUGUGUCACUGCUUAGGAAAUGUGCCAUUAAACUAUCAUUUCUGAUAAAUGUGGCUGAAAGAAUAGGCUGAGAGAAUUGCUGGAAGCUAUGAUGUCCUAGGAAGAACUACUGAGGAUCAUAGCUACUGAGACUUGAAACCUGCUGGUUUUAAAAUAGUGUGAACCACCAAUGAAUGGCAAAUGUAAGCAAAAAUGCAGGGUCUACAUGUGAGCACUUGGGAAGACAAGCUGAUGUCACUGGCUAGCCAGAACAGGGCUAUAAUAGCCUUGCUAUCCCCUGUCCCUUCUGCUCUAUUCAGAAACUAAAUCUGCAGAUCUUAACACAGUUGGGAUUUAUCUUCACUGCAUGUCAAGCAAAGUGAGUGCAUCCGUCCUAGGGGGAACUUUGAUAACUAAUUUGUCUCUUAGUUUCUCACAGUGUAUUCUUGGAAGUUCUCAGCAUAAGUUAACUGAACAUAAGAGUCAAAUAAAACCCACAGGCCAGGAUUAGAGAAUGGGCAGCUUUCAAAUGUGCACUCACCAUAGGUGCCCCAUUACUCACACUCCUUCUGUCUCCACAGCUAACAUCAGUGGAAAAGAUCUGGGCAGUAAAUUCUGGCCAAGGAGAUGACAUUCAGGAUGCCCUUUCUAUCACCCAUCAAAGCAGCUGAGGGUCUCCUGUUACACAGCAGAAGACGCCUACAAAUUAAGCUCUACUGGGGAUAUUGUAGACUAACACUGAGAUUAGCCCUUGCUGAGGAAAGCAAACAUUCACAUCCAGCAGUAUACAAAGGAUACUUAUACCAAUAUGUGCAGUAAUAAGAUGAGCCAUUUUUGCAACUGUUUGACAUUGUUGAGUUGGAUAAAAUGUUGCCCUUAAUUCCUUUUCUCCCUGUCUCAGAUGAAAAAGCCCGUGCAUUUCCCUGUCUGAUUUCAUCCUCCAAAAGUACUCUGUUUACCUUCAUUAAAUUU